CUGGUGGGAAAGCUCCGACCAGCAAGGCCAUAUGCUCCCCCUCCCCUACCUAAAGCCCCAAAUAAAAACCCUUCCUUUUAGCUUUUCGGGGAGUUUGGGAUUUCAGCGUUAGCUGCCCUCUCUUCUUGCUCAGCGCUGUGCAAAAAUAGAAUUCCUACUUUCUUCCACCACCCCCGGUGUCAGAGAUUAGCUUGCUGCGCAACGGGACCGGCCGGAAAUAAUGGGUACCUUGGCAGCCCUCUGGGCUCUGUUUGUUUUGAAGUCGCCGCGACGCCCCGGCCAAAUUUUGGUAAGUCCCCUGGGUGUGCACAACCGAGGUCCCUUGUCCUUGCGCAUUUGGGAGGAUCUGCAUGGCAGAUGUUCAUUUGUUGGGCGCCCACCGAGUGUAGGGCACGGACUGAGCUGGGACUGGAAGCACUUUGGUUUCUAGUUUUGGUCUUUGUUUUGGCUUCCGUUUGUGGCCGCGGGUUUUUGGGAAUGUGCGCUUGUUUGGUAUUUGUUGUUAUCUGUCUGUUUGUCUGUCCUUUCAAAAGUGUUAACAUGGGAGAUGCUCAUUUAUUCCACCUAAGAGCCCAUUGGGAAAAACUUUGGCUGAUGGUCGACCUAUAGCCAUAAGGCAAUGUCUAAAGAGGGAUGAUUUUCUUUUGUAACACCACGUGGCCACAAUAUUCUUUAGACUCCGGGGAGAAAAAAAUGGCCAAAUGAUGGAUCCUCAAGUUGGGAAACUUUUUAGAGAGUUCUUAUGAUAAGCAACUGUUUUAUCAGUACCUAUGUAAAUACCAAAUUAAGAAGAAAUUAUAAUGACUAGUCUUAAGAACUUAAUCAAACUUGGGGUCUCAGCUUCUCGUAGUCUUACAGAUGCUAAUGAAAAUGUUAAGUUAACAAAGAAAAAUCAGAAAGGAAGAGUCACAGGACUCAUCCCAAUGGGAUAAAUGGAACAGAUAUAAAUGAAGUUAAAACAAAGGUUAUAAUAAAAUACUGCCUAAGGUUGGAUGGGCUAUUGGCUCCCCAAUAUUAAAGGACAUCAGACAAAUCUGUUCUAUUUACCCCAGUUGGAAACAUUUAAAAGGUCAGGAGGCAAAAGUCAGAGUGAGACACCUGACCAACAGUUGUUUGGGGCAACAGUUAGCCUACUAAGAUUAAUAAGAUUAUAAAGAUUAAAGUAUUUAAGCUAAUAUUAUAUGAAGAGGUUAUGUCAACUUUGCCUGGAUGUUUUCUUUGGGAAUAAAUGUUAUGUCUAACUGGGAAUGCUUCCCCUGAACAAUAUUGUAAUACCAAAACUUGUUAAUAGAAUUCUAAUGUAAGUUAUAAUUAAAAGUAUAAGGGUUAGUAAAACUAAGAUAAAGUUUUGUAAAAAUUGAUAUACUUAAACAGGCCAAUUUCAGUUCACCCAAACUGAUGUAUGCAAUUGGAAAAGCCAGCUGCAACAACGGGGAGCCUGUUUUAAUCUUUUGAGGCUUCUAAAUAAAAUUAGAAAUACUUUACUGCCUCUUUAAGAGAAAAUAAUUAAAUAAUUAAACAUGCCAGCAGCCAAACCCAAAUCUGCUGCUUUUUUCUACUCUCUUGCUGAGCUUCCCAGCAAGCUGAGCUUCACUUCAACUCCCCCAAAAUUCCUGAUCUAAAAUUGAACGAGAAAAAAUAAGUAAACUUUUGAGAUAAUUUGGAAUUGUAAUGGCCAUUCUGAAAACGUGUUUCAGAAGAGCAUUCAAAAUCUCUCAUAAUGGAAUGCAGUCUUUAACGAAUAUGCAAAAACUUCUGAGACAAAGUUAUUUAACAUGAUAUAAAAUGAUCUUUGAUGAAUGAAAGCCUGUUUGUUUGCUGGUUUCAUUUAAAAUGAACAUGUCUUCAAAGUUAUCAGCAUUGGCUAUAAUGCAGACAUACAGCCUGGGUUUACUGGUCAAAUGAGCUCAUGUCAUCUCUGUUACAAAAUUUAUCAAUAAAACUCAUAACUCAGUAUAAUAGCUAAUUUUGUUUAAUGUCUCAUGGAGUUUUUCUAGACGAUCUAAAUAUAAUUGUUAAGAACAGGUAAAUUAAAUAAAUGUAAAAAAAUAAAAGUUUUUGGAAAAACUUUUUAACAAUCAUUAUAUAUGUAAUUAUAUGUAUAAUAAUUAUAUUAUGAUAUAUGUACUUAAAACAACUGAGGAUGAUAGUUAACUGCUGUAGUGUCACAUGAAGUUUUUAAGAGUAAUUAUUAAAACUGGGUAGGAGUUUUAAGUACAAUAAUUAUGUCUUAUAGGCUGCAUACUUAAAAACAGCUUCCAAAAUCUUUUUGGAAACAAAUUUUAUAGCUUUACUAAAUUAAAUUAAAUAAUAACAGUUUAUUGGGUAUCUAGGUCAUUUCCACAUAAGAUAAAAUAUUAAAGGUUAACUACUAAGCAUAUAUUUGUCUGCCUUUGGUUUCUUAUAUCAAAGAGACUGAAAAGUGCUUAGGUUUAUUAAUAAACAUCUUAUAUGUAUGCUGAGAAAGUUUCUAUGAGAAAACAUAUAUUUCUAAAAGGUCUGUAUACAAAGAGAGUAAAAUAUAUGCUUUCAAUAAAAAGAUAUAAAGAAUGGAAAUACUUUCGUUUCUUGAGUUGAGAAAGAUAAAUUUGUCCUAAAGUGCUGGGACAAAUUCUGAAGGUAAAAAAAGUAACCAAAGGUUUGUAAAAGUAAAGCCCUAAAGAGAUUUAUGUAUGGUCAAGUUGCCCAGGAUUAAAGUAAAUCCAAUUAAGUAAAUAAACUUAUAUGUCAAAGGUAAAGUGGUACAAAAUUAAAACUUGGUUUCCUUUUUCUUAAAAGGUUAAUUUUCCUAAAUUUUUAAUCUGCUCUUGAUAAAAAGAUUAUAAAAAGGCUUUUUUUGACUAUUUUAACCUUGUUUCCCCUUGACUGUUUCUGUUGUCACUUUGAAUAGAUACCUGAGCAUGGUCUCGCAGUGAGCUUUGUUUCCUAUCUAAACAAAUGUUUUAAAGCUUUUAAUAUUUUUGACAAGCUUCCCCAUACACACAAAUAUUGAAGUCUUGAAUAAAAGCUUUCUUUUCACCUGGAAGACAAGGGAAAGUUUCUCUGGGGAUUUUCAGAGGGCCCCUGAGACUUCUCGGAGAAAUUUGCUCUCUUCCUAUAAAAAAAAAAAUGCUAAACUAAUAAGGCUUAUUUUGUAUGUUAAAUUACAUGGGAAGCGUUGUCAAAUAAGUAAUCAUAAACUUUCUUAAAUGGUAUUAUGUAAAUUAGUGUUAUUGAUAUAAGUAUUUUCAAAAUGAUCUGAUCUGUUCUGAUUGUCGGCUAUAAUGCUGGUUAUUAUCUCAAAAUGUUACAUAUCACAGACAUGGUCAAAUGCCUUUCUCAAUUACCAUUUUUGAAUGUUUUGUUAUUUAUAAAUAGUGGCUGUUUUACUUUGAUGUUUCUGCAAAUAUGUUUCAUCUGCAGAGAAAUUCAUGGAAAGGACUCUGACACUCUAGAAUACAGGUUUCUAAUAAACAUUCAGAUUGUAAAAACAAACUGAGUAAAAAUUACAGAACUCCAACAGAGAAACUGAUGAGCUCGUAAACUGCUGACAGAAGAUUAAGAUCAAGAAUCAAUUACACAGGACAGAAUAAACUGAUAGGGAUGAUUAUAAUUUUUAUGACUUUUUGAUUGAGAUAUUGCUGAUUUUUGAUGUUUUGCUUUUUUUCAGAGUUAAGAAAACCUUUUUCUCUAUUCUCUUAAAGAACUAUGACUUACAGGAAUUCAUAAACAAAAUUGAAACAUUUGUCUUUUCCUCCCUAUCUGAGCCCUCCAAAACGUAAAAACCCCUGAUGAGUAAGUAUUCUUAUUCUUAUGGCAAUAUAGUUGUUUGCAUAAGUACAAUAAGAAUCUGUUCUUCUUUUAACAGGACACAAUUGGAAACACUAUUUAUAUUACCAAGGCAUUGACUGGAACAUCAUAUUUGAAAAAACAUACAGGCUUAAAUAUAACAAGACAGGUUUUGAGGAAUGAAGGUUGACAUUCUGGAAUAAAGCCACUUGAAAAUAUUGGCCUGGUACUGUGCUUAUGGGUUCUGUAACCUGGUAAGGUUGAGCAAAGAAUGUCGCUCCUUUUGGCAGGUACAAGGAACCUCAAUAUUUUGGGGAACCUCAUGAAGAGAGGGAUUCGCCCAAAUCUGCAGGUACUGCAGGCAGAAUCUGAUAACAGGUCCUUUGCUUGGCUUUCCUUGAGAGGCCUUUAAAGAUCAACCUGAGAUUCGUUAUAAGAUUCCAGCAAAGCAGAUUUAAAAGAGCCUGUGUGAUCAAUUACUAUUCUUGCUGUACUUAUGUAAAUAAUUAUGCCAAAUUUAUUAAAACUAAACAUUGUUCAAAUCAGUUAGUCUUAAUUUGGCUAUGUCUAGUAAAAUUGAGGGUGAUUUUCAGGAGGAAAAUUAUGUUUCAAUAGAAACUAUAAUACAUGUUUAUAAAUAUUGGAUCUUAGUUUUUUCAACUAUCUUUGAAAUUUUUGUUUUACUUCUGUUAACUGGACUGGAUCUUGAAUUCUUCAUCUCCUGAAAUAUCUGGCUAAAAACGUCCAAACUAACAUUUUCAGGUUUUUUCCCCAUUAUUUUCAUUUGGAGUCAUUGAAAACUAAAUCUGCCCUUUUUCCUAAAGCCUUACAAACUGAAGCUGGAGGACCUAAUAUAAACUUAAGAGAGAUUCAUGUCUACUGCUGUGUAAGCCACUCAAAAAGCUACCUGAGUGCCCAAUGACACCAUCAGAGACAUUUCAAACUGCAAAAGAUGCUUUGACCCUGACUUCUAGGAAUCUUGAUUGGCUGCCCCCUGGGCUCAAAAGCUGGUUUAUAAUUUGCUCCAACCAUUAACCUUGUUUUUCUCUUUUUGUUUCUUUAGAAAAACUUCUUAUUAAAUAACUGGUUACUUACUUAUAUGAUACAGGCCUAACUUAAGGAGCCCACCAGCAUCACUGCCUUAUUUAAAGACUGGUUCAAUGAGAUGAAACAACCUACACCCCAUUUCAGCAGGAAGUAGCUAGAUCGGUCAUCACCCCAAAUCCCUCAAGAUUGAAGGAUGGACAUAAAAGAGGGGGGAGUUGAUACCGAUCCUGAUAUCAAUUUCCCCACAUUAAACCCAGCAUAUAUGAGGUUAAAACCAAAAUACUCAUUCCCCGCUUACUCUCUGGCUUCCGGGCUCCAGAAUCCACUAUCCUCCAUGGAGACAGACAGCGUCAAGGACAAGCACCUGGACUAUCUCCUCCCACAGAGAUACAGGCUGGUGGGAAAGCUGCUGACCAGCAAGGUCAUGGGCUUCCUCCUCUCUGCAAGUGUCUCAAGGCCAAAGACAGGCUGGUGGGAAAGCUCCGACCAGCAAGGUCACGGGCUUCCUCCUCUCUGCAAGUGUCUCAAGGCCAAAGACAGGCUGGUGGGAAAGCUCCGACCAGCAAGGCCAUAUGCUCCCCCUCCACUACCUAAAGCCCCAAAUAAAAACCCUUCUUUUUAGCUUUUCAGGGAGUUUGGGAUUUCAGCGUUAGCCGCCCUCUCUCCUUGCUCAGCACUGUGCAAAAAUAAAGUUCCUACUUUCUUCCACCACUCCCG
rnacentral:lncRNA from 1 species